GAUAGAAAAAUACCAGCCCAGGUAACACCUUCCUGAUAGAAAAAUAGCGAUGGGAAACAGCGGGCGAGUGAGCGAAACAGCCAGCGACUGAACGAGCCCGCGCCCCUCCCCCUCCUCCCACUUCAGGAACCCUAGCCGCCGCCUCGUCCUCCUCCUCCCACCUCGAGCUUCCCGACGACGGUGGCGCUGGCUCAAGGCGGGGGCGGUUGGAUCGAGGCGUGGGAGCGGCGGAUGCGGCGUCGGUGGCGGCACGAGAAGAACAUCGGUUGCAGCCAAUUCGAUGACCUGAUCAAAACGAAAAUACAUCUGGAUUAGUCGCCAUUAGUCCUGGUCUCCCACGCAUGUAAAAAGAGAAAACAAGGAACAUGUUGAAUACGAGAGUGCUACCAAAGGAAACCAAUGAAAAAUCAUGUCGGCGUACAGCCCGCCGGCGGGGCCUGCAAAAGGCGAUGUCGCUUUCUGGUGGAGGGUGGCCAUGGACGUGUUGCAGGCGCUGGGGUGGCGCGGUGGCGUGAGCUCGGAUGUACUCAGGAGCGCUUCAUGUGUGACAAAGAUAAAUAGCAUUGGAUGAAGCAGCUUGACGAGCUCCUCCUUUACGCUGUCGGGCGCUGGCUGCAUCCAGUGUUGCCACAUGCUAGGUAGUGUUAUCGUGCAAGUUUAGUCUAGAUGCUAAAUCAAGUCGGCAUUGAUUAUUACUAUGAAACAGUUGUGUUGUGCCAUGUCGAGUUGCUAGCAUACUUAGAAACAAACCUAACCGACUUUAUUUUUUAUUAUGGCAAUAUCAUGUUAUUGCUAUAACUAAAUGGUGAUUAUCUAGGUUACCUCUUGGCAUCGGCAAUAUAGUAAAAAGAUUCCAGAUAUCAUUUAAAUGCAGACAAAAUAUUGUUGGUAGCUGCUAAGAUAAGUUGACAAUGUUACCCAGUCUUCAUGUCUGGACUUCCUGAUGUUUUCCUUACCUCAGCAGUAUUGAGGUCUGAUCAUAUUUUUGCUGCAUGACUCAGGAACAUUGUGUUGACUGUUAAGUUGGACCGCGGGUUGUCUUACAUGCCUAUAAUGCAGAGUACAACCCAAAGGUGUAAUACAACUGCUGAUGCUUAUCCCCUUCUGCUUCGAAGCUAAAUCAUAGAUUGAAGUUAUGAACUUUGACUCCAUCAUCUGUUUUCUUUUACAAUGUUUUGUUGCGGUUAUCAUGAGGAUAAGGGACCCCAAGAGGACAGCUAUUUGCUUCAGGAAAGAUGCGCAGUAUGCAUGGAUUAUCCAGAAUCUUGGUCUCCCUUGAUUUGGUUCAGAAGAUGAUGGCAGAGGUUAGUCGGGCCAUAGGAUCCUAGAAAAUUCAGAGUUAAGGCACAUAUUUUCACGAGUUACUUUCCAAUUUUGUAUGCACAAUUUUUUGGGUAGCAAUAUGUUUGGAUUCUUGAUUCAAAGCACCUAUCUAUCUUUCAUGUCAUGUCAGCCUACUGAGAAGCUCAUAACAGAUAUUGCAGUACUAGAGCUAGAAUUCAUAUGCUUGGAGCAGCAUCUCCGGACACUCUACCGGCAUUCCUUUUACCAACAAUUAUGUGAUACGAUUUCUGCUUAGCUUUUGCCUAUGUUGGUCGAUGAUACGUCUCCAACGUAUCUAUAAUUUUUGAUUGUUCCAUGCUAUUAUAUAUUCUGUUUUGGAUGUUUAAUGGGCUUUAUUAUAC